rnacentral:rRNA from 1 species
GAUGAACGCUAGCGGGAGGCCUAAUACAUGCAAGUCGAGCGGUAGAGUGACUUCGGUUGCUUGAGAGCGGCGAACGGGUGAGUAACGCGUACACAAUCUACCUUUAAGAGGGGAAUAGCCCUGGGAAACUGGGAUUAAUGCCCCAUGGCAUCACGAGACGGCAUCGUUUUGUGAUUAAAGCUGAGGUGCUUAGAGAUGAGUGUGCGUCUGAUUAGCUAGUUGGUGCGGUAACGGCGCACCAAGGCGACGAUCAGUAGGGGGCGUGAGAGCGUGGACCCCCACACGGGUACUGAGACACGGACCCGACUCCUACGGGAGGCAGCAGUAAGGAAUAUUGGUCAAUGGAGGAAACUCUGAACCAGCCAUCCCGCGUGCAGGAAGAAUGCCCUAUGGGUUGUAAACUGCUUUUAUCUGGGAAGAAAAGUCGGGAUUUAUCCUGAUCUGACGGUACCAGAGGAAUAAGACACCGGCUAACUCCGUUGCCAGCAGCCGCGGUAA